rnacentral:rRNA from 1 species
GACAGAGGGUGCAAACGUUGUUCGGAAUUACUGGGCGUAAAGCGUGCGUAGGCGGUUUGUUAAGUCUGUCGUGAAAGCCCCGGGCUCAACCUGGGAAUGGCGAUGGAUACUGGCGGGCUAGAGUGCGGUAGAGGAGAGUGGAAUUCCCGGUGGUAGCAGUGAAAUGCGUAGAGAUCGGGAGGAACAUCAGUUGCGAAGGCGGCUCUCUGGACCAGCACUGACACUGAGGCACGAAAGCUAGGGGAGCAAACGGGG